AGAAAUGAUGACCAAAGUUGUCGCCCCAAGCGGAUCUCAACAUCAGUCCUCUGUUUAAGUACAUUGCAAGAUACGAAAUGACCGAUUAUAUGCAACAUAGCCAAACACUGAAAAUUCUGAAA
rnacentral:snoRNA from 1 species